UACGUAGGGGGCUAGCGUUGUCCGGAAUCAUUGGGCGUAAAGCGCGCUGUAGGCGGUCCGGUAAGUCCGCUGUGAAAGUCGGGGGCUCAACCCUCGGAUGCCGGUGGAUACUGUCGGGCUUGAGUACGGAAGAGGCGAGUGGAAUUCCUGGUGUAGCGGUGAAAUGCGCAGAUAUCAGGAGGAACACCAAUUGCGAAGGCAGCUCGCUGGGACGUUACUGACGCUGAGACGCGAAAGCGUGGGGAGCAAACAGG
rnacentral:rRNA from 1 species